rnacentral:rRNA from 1 species
AGUCGAACGAAGUAGUAAUACUUAGUGGCAGACGGGUGAGUAACAUGUAGGUAUCUUCCCUUUGGUGAGGAAUAACACGAGGAAACUUGUGCUAAUACCUCAUAAGUCUUUACAGAGAAAGCUUUAUGCGCCGAAGGAUGAGCCUGCAUUUGAUUAGUUUGUUGGUGGGGUAAUGGCCUACCAAGACUUUGAUCAAUAGCUGAUCUGAGAGGAUGAUCAGCCACAUUGGGACUGAGACACGGCCCAAACUCCUACGGGAGGCAGCAGUAGGGAAUAUUGCACAAUGGAGGAAACUCUGAUGCAGCGAUGCCGCGUGAGUGAAGAAGGCCUUUGGGUUGUAAAGCUCUUUCGUCGGGGAAGAAAAUGACUGUACCCGAAUAAGAAGGUCCGGCUAACUUCGUGCCAGCAGCCGCGGUAAUACGAAGGGACCUAGCAUAGUUCGGAAUUACUGGGCUUAAAGAGUUCGUAGGUGGUUAAAAAAGUUGGUGGUGAAAUCCCAGAGCUUAACUCUGGAACUGCCAUCAAAACUUUUUAGCUAGAGUAUGAUAGAGGAAAGCAGAAUUUCUAGUGUAGAGGUGAAAUUCGUAGAUAUUAGAAAGAAUACCAAUUGCGAAGGCAGCUUUCUGGAUCAUUACUGACGCUGAGGAACGAAAGCAUGGGUAGCGAAGAGGAUUAGAUACCCUCGUAGUCCAUGCCGUAAACGAUGUGUGUUAGACGUUGGAAAUUUAUUUUCAGUGUCGCAGCGAAAGCAUUAAACACACCGCCUGGGGAGUACGACCGCAAGGUUAAAACUCAAAUGAAUUGACGGGGACCCGCACAAGUAGUGGAGCAUGUGGUUUAAUUCGAAGAUACGCGCAGAACCUUACCAACACUUGACAUGUUCGUCGCGACUUUAAGAGAUUAAAGUUUUCGGUUCGGCCGGACGAAACACAGGUGCUGCAUGGCUGUCGUCAGCUCGUGUCGUGAGAUGUUGGGUUAAGUCCCG